AGAGUUUGAUCCUGGCUCAGGACGAACGCUGGCGGCGUGCCUAAUACAUGCAAGUCGAGCGGACAGAUGGGAGCUUGCUCCCUGAUGUUAGCGGCGGACGGGUGAGUAACACGUGGGUGACCUGCCUGUAAGACUGGGAUAACUCCGGGAAACCGGGGCUAAUACCGGAUGGUUGUUUGAACCGCAUGGUUCAAACAUAAAAGGUGGCUUCGGCUACCACUUACAGAUGGACCCGCGGCGCAUUAGCUAGUUGGUGAGGUAACGGCUCACCAAGGCAACGAUGCGUAGCCGACCUGAGAGGGUGAUCGGCCACACUGGGACUGAGACACGGCCCAGACUCCUACGGGAGGCAGCAGUAGGGAAUCUUCCGCAAUGGACGAAAGUCUGACGGAGCAACGCCGCGUGAGUGAUGAAGGUUUUCGGAUCGUAAAGCUCUGUUGUUAGGGAAGAACAAGUACCGUUCGAAUAGGGCGGUACCUUGACGGUACCUAACCAGAAAGCCACGGCUAACUACGUGCCAGCAGCCGCGGUAAUACGUAGGUGGCAAGCGUUGUCCGGAAUUAUUGGGCGUAAAGGGCUCGCAGGCGGUUUCUUAAGUCUGAUGUGAAAGCCCCCGGCUCAACCGGGGAGGGUCAUUGGAAACUGGGGAACUUGAGUGCAGAAGAGGAGAGUGGAAUUCCACGUGUAGCGGUGAAAUGCGUAGAGAUGUGGAGGAACACCAGUGGCGAAGGCGACUCUCUGGUCUGUAACUGACGCUGAGGAGCGAAAGCGUGGGGAGCGAACAGGAUUAGAUACCCUGGUAGUCCACGCCGUAAACGAUGAGUGCUAAGUGUUAGGGGGUUUCCGCCCCUUAGUGCUGCAGCUAACGCAUUAAGCACUCCGCCUGGGGAGUACGGUCGCAAGACUGAAACUCAAAGGAAUUGACGGGGGCCCGCACAAGCUGUGGAGCAUGUGGUUUAAUUCGAAGCAACGCGAAGAACCUUACCAGGUCUUGACAUCCUCUGACAAUCCUAGAGAUAGGACGUCCCCUUCGGGGGCAGAGUGACAGGUGGUGCAUGGUUGUCGUCAGCUCGUGUCGUGAGAUGUUGGGUUAAGUCCCGCAACGAGCGCAACCCUUGAUCUUAGUUGCCAGCAUUCAGUUGGGCACUCUAAGGUGACUGCCGGUGACAAACCGGAGGAAGGUGGGGAUGACGUCAAAUCAUCAUGCCCCUUAUGACCUGGGCUACACACGUGCUACAAUGGACAGAACAAAGGGCAGCGAAACCGCGAGGUUAAGCCAAUCCCACAAAUCUGUUCUCAGUUCGGAUCGCAGUCUGCAACUCGACUGCGUGAAGCUGGAAUCGCUAGUAAUCGCGGAUCAGCAUGCCGCGGUGAAUACGUUCCCGGGCCUUGUACACACCGCCCGUCACACCACGAGAGUUUGUAACACCCGAAGUCGGUGAGGUAACCUUUUAGGAGCCAGCCGCCGAAGGUGGGACAGAUGAUUGGGGUGAAGUCGUAACAAGGUA
rnacentral:rRNA from 1 species